UACAGAGGUCUCGAGCGUUGUUCGGAUUCAUUGGGCGUAAAGGGUGCGUAGGUGGUGAGGUAAGUCGGAUGUGAAAUCUCCGAGCUCAACUCGGAAAUGGCAUUGGAAACUACCUUGCUUGAGGGUUGGAGGGGGGACUGGAAUACUUGGUGUAGCAGUGAAAUGCGUAGAUAUCAAGUGGAACACCAGUGGCGAAGGCGAGUCCCUGGACAACUCCUGACACUGAGGCACGAAAGCUAGGGGAGCAAACAGG
rnacentral:rRNA from 1 species